CGGAGAGUUUUUUAUUUUAUUUAUCACUAUCUCAAUUCACAAUUGUAAGCUUCCGCAUGACACUGAUUCCUUUCGAACCCAACAAAAAAGUCAGACAUUUAUCAUAUAUAGAUUUAGAAAACAUAUACAUGAGUUGAAUUGAGGAUUGAGAGUUGAGUGCUCUUUGUAGAAUUUCCACUCUUCAUUCAUCAGCGGCUAGCGGAACCAUUUCUUUGAAUGAGACCAUAGUAUUCCAACUAUUUUUUUACCUAUAAAUAGCAGAAAUUUAAUAUUCAAAUGAACUAAAAAUAAAAUUAAUAAUCUUGACUUACGAUAAACAUAGUAGUCUUCAAGGUUCAAUGAUAAAGAAGUUUCUCAUAUUCUGCAACUCUGUGAUUUUUUCCUUUCAAUUUCUCAUUAAUUAAACAAAUAUGUUUCAACUUCUAUGUUAACUUUCACGGAAGACAAACAAUCGGUUGUAGAUGAGGAGGGAUUUGAGUGAGUAAGAUAUUUAAGAGGUGUAAUUAUAAAAAUUAAGAGAAAGUAUAUGAAAAUUAUUAUGAUUAAUGAUAAGCGUAAAUUAUAAUUAAGUGUAAAAUUAUCCAUUUAUUUCAUAAAAUGAACAAAUAUUAUUGGAUAUUCUAAAAUAGUAUAGUGAAUAAAUAUUUUGGACAAAGAAAGUACAUAGUAGUGAUGUGGAGGAGUAUAUAAGAGAGGGGGAAGCACAUGGGAAAGGGAAGAAGCUCCUCUCCGGUACAUAAUCUCUCCAGUUGAUUCAGUGCAUAUUUAAUUUAAUGAUAUUUGUCAAUUUUAAAAUUUAAUGAUUCAUAUUUAUUUAAAUAAAGCAAUCUUUAAACCAUGAUUAACUAAAAGUCUUAACUCAGGUUAAUUUAUUCUCUCUCUUCCCACUUCUCUCCCAUGGAGUAUCAAACAAUUCCCCAUCUUUGUUGCAGACGAACCAGUUACACUCUCAAAUUUCUAAGAUCUGCCAAACCACCCAGCCAUGAUGCAACGGCAUUUCUCUUACUUUGGGGCAAGGUUAAGCGGAAAUAGUGAUAGCAGAAAUUGGUGUCUUCUUGUUCAUAGUUGUAUUAGCCAAAAUUAAAUCGGGAGAAAUACAACAUCUUCAAAAUUGUGCGGACUUUUAAUUUCAUUAAUCUGGAAAUAUCAUAGAUUAAAAAGUUAGGGACUUGUAGUACUUGAAAGUUGAAACAUCUAUAUACCUGUAAAUUGGGAAAUAAGAAAUUUGGUUGAUACACUUUGGGAUGAAGAAUUUGAGAUUCAUGA
rnacentral:lncRNA from 1 species